CCUACGGGAGGCUGCAGUGAGGAAUAUUGGUCAAUGGACGAGAGUCUGAACCAGCCAAGUAGCGUGAAGGAUGACUGCCCUAUGGGUUGUAAACUUCUUUUAUAAAGGAAUAAAACGAGGCACGUGUGCCUUUUUGCAUGUACUUUAUGAAUAAGGAUCGGCGAACUCCGUGCCAGCAGCCGCGGUAAUACGGAGGAUCCGAGCGUUAUCCGGAUUUAUUGGGUUUAAAGGGAGCGUAGAUGGGUUGUUAAGUCAGUUGUGAAAGUUUGCGGCUCAACCGUAAAAUUGCAAUUGAUACUGGCAGUCGUGAGUACAGUUGAGGUAGGCGGAAUUCGUGGUGUAGCGGUGAAAUGCUUAGAUAUCACGAAGAACCCCGAUUGCGAAGGCAGCUUACUAAACUGUGACUGACAUUGAUGCUCGAAAGUGUGGGUAUCAAACAGGAUUAGAUACCCUGGUAGUC
rnacentral:rRNA from 1 species